UUCUUUUGCAGGCUGAAAGCUUUGCUACAAAUGGAAACCAUCAUACAGAGGGGGGAUCACAUGGUGGUAGCAACCAAUAUGGACAGGGUGGAUUUUAUGGUGCAGGCAGCCAACAUGGACAGGGAUCAUAUGGUGGUGGCCCAUAUGAACAGG